AUUGAACGCUGGCGGCAUGCUUUACACAUGCAAGUCGAACGGCAGCGGGGUAGUGCUUGCACUACUGCCGGCGAGUGGCGAACGGGUGAGUAAUAUAUCGGAACGUACCGAGUAAUGGGGGAUAACCAAUCGAAAGAUUGGCUAAUACCGCAUACGUCCUGAGGGAGAAAGCGGGGGAUCGCAAGACCUCGCGUUAUUCGAGCGGCCGAUAACUGAUUAGCUAGUUGGUGGGGUAAAGGCCUACCAAGGCGACGAUCAGUAGCGGGUCUGAGAGGACGAUCCGCCACACUGGGACUGAGACACGGCCCAGACUCCUACGGGAGGCAGCAGUGGGGAAUUUUGGACAAUGGGGGCAACCCUGAUCCAGCCAUGCCGCGUGUAUGAAGAAGGCCUUCAGGUUGUAAAGUACUUUUGUUAGGGAAGAAAAGGGAAGUGCUAAUACCACUUUUUGCUGACGGUACCUAAAGAAUAAGCACCGGCUAACUACGUG
rnacentral:rRNA from 1 species